rfam:Triticum aestivum genome assembly, contig: Triticum_aestivum_CS42_TGACv1_scaffold_273103_3DS
CAACUACUCCCUCUGUCCCAAAUUUCUUGUCUUAGAUUUGUCUAGAUACGGAUGUAUCUAAUACUAAAAUGUGACUUGAUACAUCCGUAUCUACACAAAUCUAAGACAAGAAUUUUGGGAUGGAGGGAGUACUUU